UGCACCUAUAGCGCAAUUGGAUAGAGCGUCUGACUACGAAUCAGGAGGUUGCAGGUUCGACUCCUGCUAGGUGCA
rnacentral:tRNA from 1 species